rnacentral:lncRNA from 1 species
UACAUACUAUAGCCGACGAAUACGUUAGGGUAUUCGUCGGCUAAAACCUAAAAUUUUUCUAUUACCUACUAUAGCCCUAUCUUCGGUGGUUAUUUUCCGUAAAAUUUUUAGACGACUUCUUGCGUCUCAUCGGUUUGAAACUAUUUUCAGUUGGAGGUCCGGCCAAAAUACGUAAUUUAGACGGUCGAACGACCUUUUCCAUGCGUUUAGGGGUUUGACUUACGAGAUUGACCGUCCGGAUCGAGCCCUUAUUCUUUUCGGAUCAAGUUAAAUUUUUUCCCAUACAUGUAUUUUGUCAAGAUGGUCAGAUCUGACGGUCGGAUUUCUGUUUCUCAAGUUUGAUCAUCACAAUCACAACAUGCAUACUAAUGUUGUAUAACUUGUUUACCAAGUGUUAUGCAAAUGUUCCGUUUCAAAAACAAACUAUACGUAAAACCUUCAAACGCAAAAUAGUCAUGAAAUAAGAUAUGACGAGAAUGUUGAAAUACAUCCACGGUUGAAAAAUCACACUAUUCCGGUAAAUAUUCGGUGCCGAUAGUUGCGGUCAAUACAAUUUUUCAUUCUUUCACCCUAUGAGUAGCCCUAUAUUCGGUGGUUAUUUUGCGUAAAAUUUUUAUACGACUUGUUGCGUGUCAUCGAUUUAAAACUAUUUUCAGUUGAAGGUCCGGCCAAAAUAUGUAAUUUAGACGGUCGAACGACCUUUUCCGUGCGUUUAGGGGUUUGACUUAGGAGAUUGACCGUCCGGAUCGAGCCCUUAUUCUUGUCAGAUCAAGUUGAAUUUUUGGUCAUACAUGUAUUUUGUCAUGGUGGUCAGAUCUGACGGUCGGAUUUCUUUUUCUCAAGUUUGAUCAUCACAAUCACAAUGUGCCAAAUGUAUAAAAUACUUUAGCCGACGAAUUUCAAAGGUUUAGCCGACGAAUUCCAAAGUUUUAGCCGACGAAUUUAGAAGGUUUAGCCGACGAAUUGAUUCUUAGCCGACGAGAUUCUUAGCUUUAGCCGACGAAAUAAUUAUUUCGUCGGCUAAAGUUUUCGGGUUUAACUGCUCAACAGCAGAAAAACCCUAGCCUCCUCCCUCCCUCUCCCGUCUCCGCCUCCUCCCUCCCUCCCUCUCCCGGUCCCNNN